GCCAGUGUGGUGUAGUGGUUUGGGCAUUGCACUGUAGCUCUAGAGAUCAGGGUUCGAAUCCCUACUCAGCCA